rnacentral:rRNA from 1 species
UACGUAGGGGCUAGCGUUGUCCGGAUUUAUUGGGCGUAAAGAGCGUGUAGGCGGCCAGGUAGGUCUGCUGUGAAAACUCGAGGCUCAACCUCGAGACGUCGGCGGAAACCAUCUGGCUAGAGUCCGGAAGAGGAGAGUGGAAUCCUGGUGUAGCGGUGAAAUGCGCAGAUAUCAGGAGAACACCGUGGCGAAGGCGGCUCUCUGGGACGGUACUGACGCUGAGACGCGAAGCGUGGGAGCGA